rnacentral:rRNA from 1 species
AGUGAACGCUGGCGGCAGGCCUAAUACAUGCAAGUCGAACGGUAGCACAGUAAGAGCCUGCUCUUAAGGGUGGCGAGACGCGGACGGGUGAGGAAUAUAUCCGAACUUACUUUUUCGUGGGGGUUUACGUAGGGAAACCUAAGCUAACAUCGCAUCAGAUCUACGGGUGUAAGUAGGGGAUCUUCGCAACUUCUGCGAUACAAUGUGCAGAUGCCGGAUUGGAUAGUUGGCGGGGAAAAGGCGCUCCAAGGGGACGAUCCGUAGCUGCUCGCUGAGGAUGAUCAGCCACACUGGAACUGAGACACGGUCCGGACUCCUACGGGAGGCAGCGGUGGGGAAUAUUGGACAAUGGGCGCAAUCCUAAUCCAGCCAUACCGCGUGGGUGAGGAAGGCCUUCGAUUUGUAAGGCCCUUUUUUUGAGAAAGAAAAGCAGCAGGUUAAUACCCCGCUGUUCUGACGGUACCCAAAGAGUAAGCGCCGGCUAACUUCGUG